GGGGAAUUUUCCGCAAUGGGCGAAAGCCUGACGGAGCAAUACCGCGUGAGGGAAGACGGCCUAUGGGUUGUAAACCUCUUUUCUCAGGGAGGAACUCAAUGACGUGUACCUGAAGAAUAAGCAUCGGCUAACUCCGUGCCAGCAGCCGCGGUAAGACGGAGGAUGCAAGUGUUAUCCGGAAUCACUGGGCGUAAAGCGUCUGUAGGUGGUUUGGUAAGUCAACUGUUAAAUCUUGAGGCUCAGCCUCAAAAUCGCAGUCGAAACUAUCAGACUUGAGUAUAGUAGGGGUAAAGGGAAUUUCCAGUGGAGCGGUGAAAUGCGUAGAGAUUGGAAAGAACACCGAUGGCGAAGGCACUUUACUGGGCUAUUACUAACACUCAGAGACGAAAGCUAGGGUAGCAAAUGGGAUUAGAUACCCCAGUAGUC
rnacentral:rRNA from 1 species